AUUGAACGCUGGCGGCAGGCUUUACACAUGCAAGUCGAACGAGUGGCGGACGGGUGAGUAAUGUAUGGGAAACUGCCUGGUGGAGGGGGAUAACUACUGGAAACGGUAGCUAAUACCGCAUACCAUCAGAUGUGCCGAAAUGGGAUUAGCUAGUUGGUGGGGUAAAGGCUCACCAAGGCGACGAUCCCUAGCUGGUCUGAGAGGAUGACCAGCAACACUGGGACUGAGACACGGUCCAGACUCCUACGGGAGGCAGCAGGGGGGAAUAUUGCACAAUGGGGGCAACCCUGAUGCAGCCAUGCCGAGUGGAUGAUGAAGGCCUUCGGGUUGUAAAGCACUUUCAGCGGGGAGGCGUUACUCGCAGAAGAAGCACCGGCUAACUCCGUGCCAGCAGCCGCGGUAAUUC
rnacentral:rRNA from 1 species